rnacentral:rRNA from 1 species
GGGGGGGGGGGGGGGGGGGGGUGGGGGGGGGAGGGCGGGCGAGCGGGGGAGGCGGGUGCGCGUCUGACGUUGGCGGCGGACGGGUGGGUAACACGUGGAUAACCUACCUAUAAGACUGGGAUAACUUCGGGAGACCGGAGCUAAUACCGGAUAAUAUAUUGAACCGCAUGGUUCACUAGUCAGAGACGGUUUUGCUGUCACUUCUAGAUGGAUCCGCGCCGCAUUAGCUAGUUGGUAAGGUAACGGCUUACCAAGGCAACGAUUCGUAGCCGACCUGAGAGGGGGAUCGGCCACACUGGAACUGAGACACGGUCCAGACGCCUACGGGAGGCAGCAGUAGGGAAUCUUCCGCAAUGGGCGAAAGCCUGACGGAGCAACGCCGCGUGAGUGAUGAAGGUCUUCGGAUCGUAAAACUCUGUUAUUAGGGAAGAACAAAUGUGUAAGUAACUAUGCACGUCUUGACGGUACCUAAUCAGAAAGCCACGGCUAACUACGUG